rnacentral:rRNA from 1 species
CCUAAAAUCUAGCCUUACUUCCUAAUUCACCUCUUACCCACGAACUAAAAUAUUCUUUAACUCAAGUACAGAUGAUCAAAAAAUUAUUUAGCGCUAUAAUAGUACCGCAAGGGAAAGAUGAAAUAAAAAUGAAAACCUCAAGCACAACAAAUAGUAGAGACUGGCCCUCGUACCUUUUGCAUCAUGGUUUAACUAGUCAAGCAUAGGCAAAAAGACCUUAAGUCUACCUCCCCGAAACUAAGUGAGCUACUCAAAGGCAGCUUUCUGAGCCCAUCCAUCUCUGUUGCAAAAGAGUGGAAUGACCUUGAAGUAGAGGCGACACACCUAACGAACUUAGUGAUAGCUGGUUGUUCAGGCAAAGCAUCUUAGUUCUGCCUAAAACUUUUAUUACAUUACACAAACAAACCCUACACCUUUUAGAGCAACUCAAAUAGGGUACAGCCUAUUUGAAACAGGAUACAACCUACAAUACCGGGUAACUUCGACCUCACCUAAGCAACAUAGUGGGCCUAAGAGCAGCCAACACUUAAAAAGCGUCAAAGCUUAAUUGCCCCCACCCCCUCUAUCCCACGAACAUCACCGAACCCUUUAAUAGUACUGAACACUUCAAUAUCUCUAUUGAACCUUUUAUGUUAAAACUAGUAACAAGAAAUAAAUUUUCUCACAAUGUAAACAUAACCCAGACAGCACCCCGCACUGGCAAUUAACGAUCCUAACCCAAAGGUAGUAACCCAGAAAAUAAAACUCUACCGGCCCCCCCCCGUCAACCUGACACAAGAACAUUACAAGAAAGAUUAAAAGAAAAAAAAGGAACUCGGCAAAUAUUAAUUUCGCCUGUUUACCAAAAACAUCGCCUCUUGCAUACUAUAAGAGGUCCAGCCUGCCCAGUGACCCAUUUAACGGCCGCGGUAUCCUAACCGUGCAAAGGUAGCACAAUCACUUGUUUUUUAAAUAAAGACUAGUAUGAAUGGCACCACGAAAAUUAAACUGUCUCUUUUUUUCAAUCAGUGAAACUAAUCUCCCCGUGAAGAAGCGGGGAUUAUCCCAUAAGACGAGAAGACCCUGUGGAGCUUUAAACUUUUCUAGCGCCCACUUCUACCCUCCAAUAACACCAAGUGCCCCCCUAGAAUGUUUUCGGUUGGGGCGACCUCGGAGAACAACUCACCCUCCAAGCUGAAAUAGUUAAUACUUAAACAAAAACUCACAACUUUAUGUAUCAAUAAAUUGACACCCAUUGACCCAGCAACCUGAUCAACGAACCAAGUUACCCCAGGGAUAACAGCGCAAUCUUCUUUAAGAGCCCAUAUCGACAAGAAGGUUUACGACCUCGAUGUUGGAUCAGGGUACCCAAGGAGUGCAGCCGCCCCUAAAGGUUCGUUCGU